UACGGAGGAGGCAAGCGUUAUCCGGAAUUAUUGGGCGUAAAGCGUCCGCAGGUGGCACCUCAAGUCUGCUGUCAAAGACCGGGGCUUAACCCCAGAAAGGCAGUGGAAACUGAAGUGCUAGAGUGCAGUAGGGGUAGAGGGAAUUCCCGGUGUAGCGGUGAAAUGGCGUAGAUAUCGAGAGGAACACCUGCGGCGAAGGCGGGUAGCUGGGCCGACACUGACGCUGAUGCGCGAAGCCAGGG
rnacentral:rRNA from 1 species